rnacentral:rRNA from 1 species
GACGAACGCUGGCGGCGUGCUUAAUACAUGCAAGUCAACUGAACUUUAGGUAGCAAUAUUUAAAGGGAGGUGGCGCACGGGUGAGUAACACGUAGGUAAUCUGCCUUCAGGACUGACAUAACUCCGCGAAAGCGGGACUAAAAUCAGAUGAUGCAGCGGCUCGACAUCGAGACAGUUGUUAAACCUUCGGGGCCUGAAGAUGAGCCUGCGUCUGAUUAGGUAGUUGGAGGGGUAAUGGCCCACCAAGCCUGCGAUCAGUAGCUGGUCUGAGAGGAUGAUCAGCCACACUGGAACUGAGACACGGUCCAGACUCCUACGGGAGGCAGCAGUAAGGAAUAUUGCUCAAUGGCCGAAAGGCUGAAGCAGCAACGCCGCGUGGAGGAUGAAAUACUUUAGUAUGUAAACUCCUGUAAGAGGGAAAAUAUACAGUUCUGCUGUAUUGAUUGUACCCUCAGAGUAAGCACCGGCUAAC